CGUUGUUGUUAAGUCCUACAAAACACUUUUGGUUUGAUAUGAAUCACAUGAUAAAGUGAAAGUCACAGAUGACACAAUUGUUCAUAGGAUAGCAGCAUACGAACUAAAUGAAAAAGGGACCUGAAACAACCUCAAACAAGUGAAACAACCUGAAACAAGUGAAUACCAGAGAACAGAGGAACAGUCAAUUAUGGACAAUGACACCCAGAAGCUAUUAGAGGACAGCGACUGUUUUUUAAAAAUUGCUGGAAAUAAAUAUUACAUCCUUAUACCUGGGAAGACAUUAGGGUGUCAGGAAACCAUCAGAAAUUUCCUUCAACACACACUGAGUCUAAAGGAGGUGGAGUCUGUGGAGGAGUGUAAUGUUAUAGUGGUUUUGUGCUGUUGUUUCAAGGACAGGAACUGACAUUGAAGCUGUACUGAAUGAACUUAAUACACUUUCAGAAUCAAAACCAGCCAUUUUUAUGGUGCUGCAUCACACAUUUGACCCAGAAAAAACUGUACCAGACAGCAGCAGGUGUGUAAACAGGGAAGAUACACUUACAGUGGAUCUUCUGUUUCAUGAGGAUAAAGGGCUCCUGGAUUGCAUGAAAAACAAUGAAGCACUGGGCAAGAUUAAAAACCGCCUGCAAGUACAGAAGCAUACUGGCAACCGUAAAUCUUCAUUCUUCAACAUGUGCCGGAGGUGCUUGUGCUGUUGCUGUUCGGUAUGUAAAAUGAUAAUCAUCUCAGUUAAAUCAUCCAUAGCAUUUAAGUUCCAUUUUAAUUAAUAACAAAUUGUACUUGUGUUCUUCACAUAGGAACCAGAAGACAACCAGCCGAAUGCUGACUGUUAAUUUGAAUGACCACAUACCAGUGAGUUAGAUUUUUUUCUAAAUUAACAUCUUUACAAAGCAGUGAGUAAGAUUUAAUUAAAACUGUGAUUUUAAAAAGUAAGUAGUAAAUAGUGUCAUUGUAACAUGUGGCAGGAAGGCAGGCAGAGAUAGGGAUUUAAAUGUAUAAGGUUUAUUGUAAUAAUCCCCCAAAAUGGAAAAAAACAUGAUAAUCCCAGACAGGAAACAACUCUUUUAAAGUAAUGAUGUGGGGGAACACAAAAAAGGACCAUGACAGUCAUCAGGUUAACAUGAUUGCUGUCACAUAACUAGAUGACAAUUCUACACCUGUAAGCUUAUAUAGACCAAAACAAAAUCAUC